UACGGAGGGGGUUAGCGUUGUUCGGAAUUACUGGGCGUAAAGCGCACGUAGGCGGAUUGGAAAGUGUGGGGUGAAAUCCCGGGGCUCAACCCCGGAACUGCCUCGCAAACUAUCAAUCUAGAGUUCGAGAGAGGUGAGUGGAAUUCCAAGUGUAGAGGUGAAAUUCGUAGAUAUUUGGAGGAACACCAGUGGCGAAGGCGGCUCACUGGCUCGAUACUGACGCUGAGGUGCGAAAGUGUGGGGAGCAAACAGG
rnacentral:rRNA from 1 species